rnacentral:rRNA from 1 species
UACGAAGGGGGCUAGCGUUGUUCGGAAUUACUGGGCGUAAAGCGCACGUAGGCGGACUAUUAAGUCAGGGGUGAAAUCCCGGGGCUCGAACCCCGGAACUGCCUUUGAUACUGGUAGUCUCGAGUCCGGAAGAGGUGAGUGGAAUUCCGAGUGUAGAGGUGAAAUUCGUAGAUAUUCGGAGGAACACCAGUGGCGGAAGGCGGCUCACUGGUCCGGUACUGACGCUGAGGAGCGAAAGCGUGGGGAGCGAACGAGG